GGGACUCCUUCCACAUGCAGCUGUAGGUGUGGGGUGUCCACGGGAGAAGUUAAUUCUCAUGGGAGAGAUUGUGGAAAAACAGCCACGUAGGAGAACCCAGCUGUUCCUCUGCAAAUAAGCAUGGCAGGAGCUACUUGUGAACAAAAACAGGCCUGGGAGAACGCCAGACGUCCACGUAGAGGUUUUAGCAGCACAGUGGAAGGAAUAAAGAGAUGAAGAAGAAAAAGAAAACAACCUCAUUUGCCUGCAUCAUUUCCAUUCCCCACGCCAGCACUACUGAGCUCUAAGAAGGAGCGUCCCAGCGUGGAAGAGUUUCUUUUGCCGGGUCCGCAAGAGCAGGGUGAGGAACCAUCUUUGCGGGCCUCUUGGAACAGAGUUAGGCUCCAGCUUCUGUUUCACUGCAUCGAGACAGGCAGAGCUAAGAUGUAUAUUUAACCAGCUAGAAACAAGGUAGAAAAAGAGGCUAAGUAGACAUGCAGUGGAGACCGUCACGGUUCAGAGAGUGGCUUUGCAGACAAACACGGCAGAUUCUGUCACUGAUGGAGCCAGUAGUUGGCGCAACCACCACAGGCCCCUCACUCUCCCUGCAACUCUCAGCAGCUUUCCCCCCACAGGUAUUUGCGCUUGGCAACACCAGCCACCUGUUUCCCUCCUUGAGCCGUGCCUUCGACCCUCUCUGCCUUCUGCAACUUUCAGAGUACAAGAUGCCAGCCUAGGCCCCAACAGGUGGCUCACACUAAACCCCCAUUCAGGGCUGGUAGCACCUGUAGCUCUGUACAGCUUUCUGAUGCCCAUCACCAACCUCCAGUGUGGUGCACACGCUUGGAUGGAAAAUACGCAGCCAUGGGUGAGUGUAUUGCCAGCCAGGGCCACUGCAGCACUCUCUGGGCCCAAAUAAGGCUGUGCCUUCAGUCUGGAACCACUGUGCACCUGCAUGCCAACAUCCAGGGUCUCUACCUCUGCCUGAGAGCACAGCUGAAUGCAGCCCAUGAUACUGGCUCUGGCCCCCAUCACUCCAUGUGUGUCUUUAAUGGGGCUCUGCUACUACAGGACCUGCUGCUGGUCCCAAAGCCAAGUGCAUGUUAAGCUAAAUAUAUGACACCCCCCGGACAGAGUGCUACCAAAUGCCACAAUACCACACCCUGCACCACUAGAACUCAGGUCAGGGUCAUUCACCGACAGAUGAAAGGUUUCCCUUACCAAAGCUGGUGCAUCGAGUCUAGAAGAGGUUACUCCUUUUUUCAAAUGCACAAAAACCUAUGCAGAGUUACAAGGAUCACAAAGAAUGAGGGAGAUACAGCUUCUCCAAAGUAAUACAGUAAACCUGCAAUACCUGGCCCCAAAGAAAUCAAAGAUCCAGAAACUACGAGAGAAAGUCUUUUUUUUUUUUUGGUUGAGCGUACAGCAUGUGGACAUUCCAAGGCCAGGGAUCAAAUACACACCAUAGCAGUGACCCAAGCUACUGCAGUGACAACGCCAGAUCCUUUACCUGCUGUGCCAUAAGAAAACUCCAAGAGAUUUUCUAAAAAUGGAGAGUAUAAACAAUCCAAAGAUACUAGGAAAACCAUACACAAACAAAAUGAAGAGUUCAGCAAAGAUAGAGAAUGUAAAAGAGACACCCCCCCAAAAAAAAAAAUUUUGGAACUAAAGAAUGCUCUAAGUGAAAUAAAGAAUUCAGUAGCUGACUCAAGCAACCAGAAGAAUCAGUGAGCCCAAAGACAGAUCAACUGAAACAGUCCAAUCAGAGGAGAAAAAAAAA
ensembl:lncRNA